rnacentral:lncRNA from 1 species
UUGUUGCAGAGCAGCCCACGAUGGCUUAACUGGCGGUAUACUCCCAAUGUUCUAUAUCUGGCAAUAUAUCUUCAUUAUCUGGUGGCUUGUCCAUAAUAUUGGUGUGUUAUUGGAUGGACAAGUUCUAGGGAACUCAUUAUGGUGUGUAGCGGAGAUGGGUAGGAUCUAUUUUCUAAAAAAUCUACACUAAUUUUUGAAAAAGUGUUGCAUUGACAUUGC